GAUGAACGCUGGCGGCGUGCCUAACACAUGCAAGUCGAGCGAACGGACGAGAAGCUUGCUUCUCUAAUGUUAGCGGCGGACGGGUGAGUAACACGUGGAUAACCUACCUAUAAGACUGGGAUAACUUCGGGAAACCGUAGCUAAUACCGGAUAAUAUUUUGAACCGCAUGGUUCAAAAGUGAAAGACGGUCUUGCUGUCACUUAUAGAUGGAUCCGCGCUGCAUUAGCUAGUUGGUAAGGUAACGGCUUACCAAGGCAACGAUGCAUAGCCGACCUGAGAGGGUGAUCGGCCACACUGGAACUGAGACACGGUCCAGACUCCUACGGGAGGCAGCAGUAGGGAAUCUUCCGCAAUGGGCGAAAGCCUGACGGAGCAACGCCGCGUGAGUGAUGAAGGUCUUCGGAUCGUAAAACUCUGUUAUUAGGGAAGAACAUAUGUGUAAGUAACUGUGCACAUCUUGACGGUACCUAAUCAGAAAGCCACGGCUAACUACGUG
rnacentral:rRNA from 1 species